rnacentral:rRNA from 1 species
GACGAACGCUGGCGGCGUGCUUAACACAUGCAAGUCGAACGGUGAUGCUCCAGCUUGCUGGAGUGGAUCAGUGGCGAACGGGUGAGUAACACGUGAGCAACCUGCCCCAGACUCUGGAAUAAGCGCUGGAAACGGCGUCUAAUACUGGAUACGAAACUGGCCCGCAUGGGCAUGGUUUGGAAAGCUUUUCGGUUUGGGAUGGGCUCGCGGCCUAUCAGCUUGUUGGUGAGGUAAUGGCUCACCAAGGCGACGACGGGUAGCCGGCCUGAGAGGGCGACCGGCCACACUGGGACUGAGACACGGCCCAGACUCCUACGGGAGGCAGCAGUGGGGAAUAUUGCACAAUGGGCGAAAGCCUGAUGCAGCGACGCCGCGUGAGGGAUGACGGCCUUCGGGUUGUAAACCUCUUUCAGCAGGGAAGAAGCGAAAGUGACGGUACCUGCAGAAGAAGCACCGGCUAACUACGUG